AGCGAACGCUGGCGGCAAGCUUAACACAUGCAAGUCGAACGCCCCGCAAGGGGAGUGGCGGACGGGUGUGUAACACGUGGGAAUCUGCCUUUAGGUAAGGAAUAACUCAGGGAAACUUGAGCUAACACCUUAUAAUGUCUUCGGACCAAAAAUUUAUUGCCUAAAGAUGAGCCCGCGGUAGAUUAGCUAGUUGGUGGGGUAAUGGCCUACCAAGGCGACGAUCUAUAGCUGGUCUUAGAGGAUGAUCAGCCACACUGGGACUGAGACACGGCCCAGACUCCUACGGGAGGCAGCAGUGGGGAAUAUUGGGCAAUGGGCGAAAGCCUGAUCCAGCAAUGCCGCGUGAGUGAUGAAGGCCUUAGGGUUGUAAAGCUCUUUUACCAGGGAUGAUAAUGACAGUACCUGGAGAAUAAGCUCCGGCUAACUCCGUGCCAGCCGCCGCAGUAAAAC
rnacentral:rRNA from 1 species